rnacentral:rRNA from 1 species
UGCCAGCAGCCGCGGUAAUACGAAGGUCCCAAGCGUUAUCCGGAAUCAUUGGGUUUAAAGGGUCCGUAGGCGGUCUGGUAAGUCAGAGGUGAAAUCCUGCAGCUCAACUGUAGCAUUGCCUUUGAUACUGCCAGACUUGAGUUAUUGUGAAGUAGUUAGAAUGUGUAGUGUAGCGGUGAAAUGCAUAGAUAUUACACAGAAUACCGAUUGCGAAAGCAGAUUACUAACAAUAUACUGACGCUGAGGGACGAAAGCGUGGGGAUCAAACAGGAUUAGAUA